AACGCGAAGAACCUUACCAGGGUUUGACAUAUUUAUGAAUUUUUUCGAAAGAAAAAAGUUCCUUUUGGAACAUUUAUACAGGUGGUGCAUGGCUGUCGUCAGCUCGUGUCGUGAGAUGUUGGGUUAAGUCCCGUAACGAGCGCAACCCCUAUCCCUAGUUGCUAGCAGUUCGGCUGAGAACUCUAGGGAGACUGCCGGUGACAAACCGGAGGAAGGUGGGGAUGACGUCAGGUCAUCAUGGCCCUUACGGCCAGGGCUACACACGUGCUACAAUGGUGCGCACAGAGGGCUGCAAACCCGCGAGGGGGAGCUAAUCUCACAAAACGCAUCGUAGUCCGGAUCGGAGUCUGCAACUCGACUCCGUGAAGUCGGAAUCGCUAGUAAUCGUGAAUCAGAAUGUCACGGUGAAUACGUUCCCGGGCCUUGUACACACCGCCCGUCACACCAUGGGAGUGGAUUGCACCAGAAGUGGUUAGUCUAACCUUCGGGAGGACGAUCACCACGGUGUGGUUCAUGACUGGGGUGAAGUCGGAACAAGGUAGCCGUACCGGAGGUGCGGCUGGAUAA
rnacentral:rRNA from 12 species